rnacentral:rRNA from 1 species
UACAGAGGGUGCAAGCGUUAAUCGGAAUUACUGGGCGUAAAGCGUGCGUAGACGGUUGCGUAAGUCAGAUGUGAAAGCCCCGGGCUCAACCUGGGAAUUGCAUUUGAGACUGCGUAGCUAGGGUGCGGAAGAGGGAAGCGGAAUUUCCGGUGUAGCGGUGAAAUGCGUAGAUAUCGGAAGGAACACCAGUGGCGAAGGCGGCUUCCUGGACCGACACUGACGCUGAGGAGCGAAAGCGUGGGGAGCGAUCCGG